GCACAGAGGACACAGCACGGCUCUAGUGGAGGACGUAUGUCCAGGCUACAAGGAGAAGCUCCAGGAAGUUGUGACAAAACUGAAAGCACAGAAAGAUACAUGUAAGAGUGCAAAGUUGUUCACGAGAGACCAAAUGACAAAAUGGGAGGAGAACAUAGAGCUUCAAAAACAGAAAAUCCAGUCUGACUUUGAGAAUCUCAUCAACUUCCUGUCAGAGGAGAAGAUGUACCAUCUGCGAAGACUGGAGAAGGGGAAAGAGCAGACUCUGAACAAACUGUGGAAGAAUAAUAACUGUCUGAAAGAGCAGAGCCAGGAACUCAAGAACCACAUCCUGCAACUGGAGGAGAAA